GACGAACGCUGGCGGCGUGCCUAAUACAUGCAAGUCGAACGCUUCUUUCCUCCCGAGUGCUUGCACUCAAUUGGAAAGAGGAGUGGCGGACGGGUGAGUAACACGUGGGUAACCUACCCAUCAGAGGGGGAUAACACUUGGAAACAGGUGCUAAUACCGCAUAACAGUUUAUGCCGCAUGGCAUAAGAGUGAAAGGCGCUUUCGGGUGUCGUUGAUGGAUGGACCCGCGGUGCAUUAGCUAGUUGGUCAGGUAACGGCUCACCAAGGCCACGAUGCAUAGCCGACCUGAGAGGGUGAUCGGCCACACUGGGACUGAGACACGGCCCAGACUCCUACGGGAGGCAGCAGUAGGGAAUCUUCGGCAAUGGACGAAAGUCUGACCGAGCAACGCCGCGUGAGUGAAGAAGGUUUUCGGAUCGUAAAACUCUGUUGUUAGAGAAGAACAAGGACGUUAGUAACUGAACGUCCCCUGACGGUAUCUAACCAGAAAGCCACGGCUAACUACGUG
rnacentral:rRNA from 1 species